CAUAUCUCCAGCUGUUGCAUAACUACAUCUCCCAGCAUGCCCUUCGGCGAUCAGUACAUGCUGGGAGUCGUAGUUUUGCAACAGCUGGAAGCACACUAGUUGGAAAAUACAGAGUUAGGUAACAUCUCCCUGACGAAGGAAGCCGUGCUUCUGAAACGCGUUGGAGGUAUCUUGGAUCUAAUCCUGUACCGUAGUGACGUCACGACAUCGGUCUCCAGCAAACCGCGAACCGGGGCUACCACGGUAGAGAACGCCACCGGCCGGGGCGUACUCCCGCAAUCCCCAACUAGGAUCUUCGGUAAAAGCAUACGUACUCUCCGCAACAUCUCAGAACAAGAGGAAGUGCGGGCAUCACCGCCAAGAAAAACAAUCACAUAAAAAUGCAAGCAAAACGGAAGUAAAAUCUUUAAAGUGAUUGCACUAUAAGUCCAAUAUUCUGCGCACAUCCAUAGUGCCACCAGCCAACAAGAAUUUCACCACCAACAAUAUACUAAUACAGCUAAAUUCCUGGAACACGCUGGAACCCAUAUAAAAAAGCAUACCUACAGUGCACCCUAAAGAACAACUUAAAGAAUAACCCUGCAAACAAUUAUUCCACACUUACAGUUUGAUCUUCUUCUUUUAGCCAGCCAAUCAGAAAGCAGCACUACUCAAAUAGAACUCCCGUGAGGUCACACAUGUGAUGUCAUAACCUUUGUCAUCAGUGAGGGGCCUAAACUGUAGGAACCUAGGAAUACACGUUCAUACCCGCCUGUGACUGGUAAGUAUCACAUCUUUUUGGUCUUUAGUGCAGUUCCAUGUGCAUUUCUAUAAUAAACAUGUAACUAAUCUCUCUUUUCUUUUCCUAUCUUAGAUGCACACCUUCCAGGCUGUGGGGCAGCACAUACACGGACACAUUGGCCCAAAUUCUAGAGGUAACCUCCUUUAGUAUGCCCAGAGGAAGGGCAGUACAGUAGCCAUGGAUUCCCUACAGGUUUCCUCCCCUCUGGAGGUUUUUCCUGUCCUGAGUUAGUUACUGUCCGCUCUUUGUGAGUGAUGGAGGUUACAUAAAAUCCCUACACAAACAUUUUGGUAAAUAAUAAAUAAAGUUCCCCUUUGUUUAAACUGUU